rnacentral:rRNA from 1 species
UAGGGAAUCUUCGGCAAUGGGGGGAACCCUGACCGAGCAACGCCGCGUGAGUGAAGAAGGUUUUCGGAUCGUAAAGCUCUGUUGUUAAGGAAGAACGAGUGUGAGAAUGGAAAGUUCAUACUGUGACGGUACUUAACCAGAAAGGGACGGCUAACUACGUGCCAGCAGCCGCGGUAAUACGUAGGUCCCGAGCGUUGUCCGGAUUUAUUGGGCGUAAAGCGAGCGCGGGCGGUUAGAUAAGUCUGAAGUUAAAGGCAGUGGCUCAACCAUUGUAGGCUUUGGAAACUGUUUAACUUGAGUGCAGAAGGGGAGAGUGGAAUUCCGUGUGUAGCGGUGAAAUGCGUAGAUAUAUGGAGGAACACCGGUGGCGAAGGCGGCUCUCUGGUCUGUAACUGACGCUGAGGCUCGAAAGCGUGGGGAGCGAACAGG